GAUUUUUACGAUCUAACUUCGAGAUAAAACCCCUAUCCAUUUGACAUCUAAAUGUCAUAGCGACUUUUGGGAUAGUUUGCUAUCGGCAAAGGGGGACAAAUUCAAGGGGUGAAGGGGAACAAGGGCCCAGUACAGCCUCCAGGACCCUCUGCUGCCUCCUCACCAGCCCCCCUCCCCCCAGGUCCUGUAAGAAGUUGGGCCCAGCUGGAAGGGAAUUGAUCGGGUUGCCUGUUGGGAGAUGGAGCCACUACAGGCAGGGCCGGCGCCUGGAGUCGGGCAUGAAAGGAAAUAGCGCCUCAUCGCUCUUAUCUAAGCCCAGAGCCGCCUCCUCGCCCUCUCUGGCCUCUGCGGAGAUUCCAGGCCCUACGGAGACCAGGACGUCCCUCAGCGCCACCGCCCCUCGUGCCAAUGCUGCCGGGAAAUCGCCGAUACCCGCACUGGGCAAGAGAACUGCGCGGGGGCAAUUGGGGGAGGCCCGGAUCAGGGAGGGAUGGUGAAAGGGGGAGGGAGCACAAACCCACAGGGGUUGUAGCGACUGGCUUCUUCCGGCCAGAGCCGCUGAAGCCCAGACACCCCCAUCCUCUCUUUCGCAGCCCCCAUGCUUGAGCUCUCCUCCCAGCUUAAAAAGGAGACUAGAAGCUGGGCUUCAGUGGCCCCUUUCGGUUUCCCCUCCCAUAAUCUCUGAUUUUGGAUCCCCCUUCAGAGAGCGGCCACCCCUCUCUCCACCACCGAAUUUCCUAGGAAACCUCUCCCUGCAGCCCCAGAGGUGGGGUUCAGCCCCUUCUUGGAGUGUGGGGGGGAGAAAAACCCAAGCCCCACCCCCUACAAAAGCGAUGCAGAAGAAUAUGAAGAGUAUUGUAGAAUCUCCCUUACCUUUGAAGACCUUGGCAGAUUUUUCCUCCGGAUUGAAAAGAGUGGGAAAGGAGGGGGGAAAAGCGUUCGGUUUCUUCUUUCAGCUUCCAGAUAAUAUUGUCCCAACCUGAGAGCCGUUGCUUCCCCUUCUCUGACUUGGGAGAGAGGGUGUUUCUUUUUUUCUGACAUUUGCUUAGAAAAUGGAGUAAGUUCUGUCUUUGAAAAAGGGUAUCAGGCUGCAGUCCUGAGUAGAUUGUCCAUUUACCCUUCAUGAUGACUAAAAUCCCAGAUCAGCAAGCAAAUUAACUUAAGAAUCAAAAUUAUUUUUCUUUCUCUCUUUUGUGUGUAAUUCCCACCCCUCCUUCCCUCUCUCACUCUCUUCUCUCCUCUCCCCCCUCUCUCCCUCUCUCUUUUGCUCUAUUGAGCUGAUAUUGAAGUAUAAAAAUAUCAAGAGGCUGGAGCCCUGAAGGACGACAGUGCUCCGACCUAGGUGUGGUGUCCAAAAGAAUGCUGCAUUAUAACCACCAGGGAAAUGAUAAAAAGUUCAUGUUCACGAUCGCCCGGCCACAUGACCGGCGCCGGCCAAUCGCUGGAUUCAACCACUCAUAAACUUCUAUCACAAAGUUGUAAAUUUUCAUAAAACAACAAGGAAUUUAUUGCAUUUCUUCAUGGCUGCUCCACCAGCAACCCUUUUCUCAGUCGCCAUCUUCUUUUCUUCUCCUUCUCUCUUUUUGGGAAACCCCAGUCUGAGAAAGGGUGAGAUUUGGGGUUCAGGAAUUCAGGAUGGAGAAGUCACAAGGGUCCAGCUAGGAAGGGGGUUCUUUUUGGAACCUCCCUAUUUUUCAAAGGAGCUCUGCCUCUCUUUUCUAGUAAAGAAUAACCCCAAAUCCUCCUCAUGGGACUAUUCUAAGGCAAUUUGGAGGUGAGACAGGAGUUGCCAUCAGCAUCAAGGCAAAAUGAAAGCUUCAGUAGUUCCUUUCCCCCUCUGACCUGACCCCCUCGAUCUUAGUCCUAAAGAUAGUAGGAAUCCCCCACCUGUGAGGCUUGCAGGGUUUCGGGUGGGGGCCCUAAAUUCCCUAGGGCCUAGUGUUUGCCCAGAGGGGAAGGUGGCCUGCAAGGGAGCCAAGACCCAGUAGUUCUUCAACUGGAUUCUCCCAUUCGGCACCCCAGAAAUUGGGGGAGGGUAAAGCCGGAUCCCAGCCUUUCCCGCCCAAACGCCUGCUGGUCCAAGUUUCCAAGCGCCGGUCCAGGCGCUCUCCAGGGGGUUCUCUGGUCUUUAAUGAAGGAAACUACAGGUUUAGGGACCUUUUACUUUCAAUUCAAUUUAAACAGAUUUUCUGAAAACCAAUCCUCCAAUCCCCUUUCUGUUCGCCAUGUCUAUUCUUUAAAUUUAAACAAUGCAGGGUUUGCAAUCAAAUAAAUGCUUUUUACAUUUAUUCAGCUCUGAGAAUCUAGCUGUAGAGGUACCGUCCUUCAGAGUUUUGGCCUAUUAUUGAGGCUCUGCUGAGCAAAAUAAUAACAACAACAAUAAUUCAUCCCGUGUUUUCCAGGUUCCCUAAAAUAUUCCUGAAUUUUGAAUUGAGCUAUCAGAACUCAAAUACAAGAAACGAAAUAACCUUCCCCCAAAUGUUUCUCUCUUUCUCUCUUUCUCUGUGCUCUUGAGAAGAUUCCAGGUUGCCGGCGGCGGCGAACAGGCAGAAAAGCGAAGAGGAAGCACCCGGCGGUCAGCGCGGCCAGGCUCACGGCGGCCGGGAUACACUCACACCAGCCUGGUAAAUUCUCACCGCUCUCGCAAUCGGGAGUCCUUUUGCCCAUUUUUAAGGUUUAUACGGGUCGCCUGUGUCAAUUUAGAGUGAGACAAAUUAAAUCAAAUGAAAGUAAAAUAAACGGAAAUAAAAAUAAAGGAAUAGCUCUUGACAAAAAAAAAAAAUGUUUGCCAAAUGAGCAGAAAGCUGGGUGCGGGUAGUUUCUCUGGGCCGGCCAGGAGGCCUCUGCACGCGGGCCUGGCCUCUUCCCAACACAGCCCAAGAGGCAGGACUGGAUUUGGGUGUUCACCUUCCCUUACCAUCCGCCCUUCUUUCUCAUAAGGCCUAGCAUUUUGGAUUUCACCUCUGUAUUUGUAGCCAGGGGGCUGCUCAGACCCCUCAGCCUUUUUCGAAGGCCUGCAUAAGGAAGAAAGUUUGUGGAAUUGCAAGAUUUUUCAAUUUUGUUUUGUUAUAUUUUGUGAGUGUGUGACUGAGAGUAUGGGCUCAUGGAUAUAUUUACUUGGGGGCAAAUGUGAAUCUCUGUUUAUAAGCCAAUGUGUGAAUGUGCAUUGGUAUCUAUCAGUGUGUCUGAGUGACUGUGAAUGUGUGUUUACUUGUGAGUGUGUGUGAACUUGAAUGCAUUUGUUCUGGGCAUGGAGCCCUGAUUGUAUGAAUGCCUGUAUGUUCAUUUGUGAACAUAUGAAUAUGGUUGUGUUUAUUUGUGACUGUAUAUGACAGUGUAUAUAUGUGUGAUGUCAGCCUGUGUGUGUGUGUGUGUGUGUGCGCGCGCGCGUGCACGAGCAUGCACUGGUAUAUAUCAAUAUGUGUAAAAGAGUGUAAAGGGAAUAUAUGUGCAUAUGUAAUAUUGGGGUUCACAAGUUGGCAGUCCUAGAGCAAGGGGUCUGGGGGGCAGAGAGCAAGCCCAUACAGAAAGGGUCUGCUACAGAAGGAUGAAGGGAAGGAUUCUGGGUCACCCACCCAUUACUAACCCUAAUCCCCUCCCAACCCCUGGGAGACACAGAAAACAGGACACAUGCUUAUUUUUAAUUGUUUUAUUUUUUCAUCCUUCAGAUACACAUAGAAUGUAAAGAGGAGCACCCGUGGGGCUCAGGGAAGUGUUGGUGGGAGCAAGGAGCAGUAAUCAGGCAAAGGUGGGACACUCCAGCUACUGAGCUACUGGUAGGGUCCUUAGGGCUCCCUAAUGCCCUUUUGGUGUUGCUACUAGGAAGGCCGAGGCUCAGGUACACGGGUGAGAAACAGGCUGCACUCCUCCAGACCCACAGUCCACAAAGACAGCAUCCAAGGGGGUUUACAAAACAGCAAAAUUUUGCAAAGACCUUACAAUAGCCACAUAGAAAAGGGGAGGCAAAUUUUGAAAAGCUACAGAACAGUAGAUAUUGUACAAAAAAACGAACCCAACAGUUUCCUAUAGGUAGUAUUUUUUUUUACAGUGUUGAGAAACCAAAAUUUCACCUUUUUCUCUCCAUGUUUUUUUUUAACUGCUUUCAUUUAAAUAGUUUUUUUUUUUCACCCUAUUGACUUGAGUUUCCGAGUUCAGUUCCCAGAACUGGAAUUCUUCUUUCCCUUGCUCUUCUCUACCUUCUUCUGUCCUUCACUCUUCCUCAUCCUCCUCUGCUUCAGCCUUGUCCUGGCCGGUGAUUCCUGGGCCUGCGGUCUUAUUUUCCUUUUUCCACUUCAUGCGCCGGUUCUGGAACCAAAUCUUUAUCUGUCUUUCGGUGAGGCAGAGCGCGUGCGCGAUCUCGAUGCGCCGCCGGCGGGUCAGGUAGCGAUUGUAGUGAAAUUCCUUCUCCAGCUCCAAGGUCUGGUAGCGGGUGUAGGUCUGGCGGCCUCGCUUACGGUCGG